rnacentral:lncRNA from 10 species
AGCUAAGCUCUCUGGCUCUGAGCUUUGGCUGUGCUACCACAGGCCUUGCCUCCUUCCUGUACUGGGCGUCCUCCUGCCCUGUUCCUCCCUCUCCCUUCCUGCCACACCCGGCUGACCUCUGCUCACCAUUUUCUCCAUUCCAUGGACAUUUUCCCACCACACCAGUGGCUACUCCCACUUGCACUAGGAGCGCUGUGACACCCCAACUUGUGGGGCAGAGGUCAGGCCCAGAGUGCUGAAGUGCUGAAGCUCCUGUAGAAGGUCCUUCCAUGUGUCUUUCAGAUCCUGGGCUUGGCCUUCUCCAUAACCAUCACCCAGCACAUCCACUGGACUGGGUCUUGCUCUGUCAUCCAGACUGGAGUACAGUGGUGCAACCACGGCUCACUGCAGCCUUGAACUCCUGGGCUCAAGCAAUCCUCCUACCUCAGCCUCCAUAGCAGUCGGGACCACAGGUAUGUGCCACCAUGCCCGGCCAAUUUUGUUUAUUUUUUUGUAGAGGCGGGGUCUCCCUAUGUUGCCCAGGCUAGAACUCCUGGACUCAAGCAAUCCUCCCACCUCAGCUUCCCAAAGUGUUGGGAUUACAGACGUGAGCCAACACGCCUAACUUAGUUACAAUAUUUUAAACUUACGAUGUAUUUAUCAAGAUGUAGCCCCAUCAUAUGUUGAGGAGCAUCUGUAUAUUCUCAAUAUAUUUCUUUUCUCUGGCGAGACCCCAGUUCCUAAAAUGACCCAACCUUCUUAUUUACCAACGGGCAACUUGGGGAGAGGAUGUUGAAUUUGACCUCUGGCCCCUAACUCAGGGUUCUCUAAAGUAGAAUUUGGGCUUCGUGAACUACAGUGUGUUUUAAAAGUCCAGCGGAAGUUGCUCCUCAUCCCCAUCACGGGAACAUUAAUGUUCUUGCCUCUGGCUGGCUUUAUUAUGUCCUUACUGCAGUGACGUUGUUAUGUCCUUACUGCAGUGACGUUCCUUGCUGAUGGAAAGGGCUGGAUUCCCACUUCACUCUUUCCCUCUUGUCCUCUGGCCUGAUGCAAAGGCCCCCACCAGGUGCCCGGCAGGAUCCUCCCCUUUCUGCUCAAGCCACUGCCAGACAGGGUUUCAGCUAGAGACUGAAGCCAGAGGGAAAAGGAAAUAGGGGCUUGUCAUGCAUUUGCUUUUAAGAAGAAAAUGGCUCUUUGCCCCAUGUCCUCUCCUUCCCAUGGGUGGCCUCUCUCUCUUCAGCCAUGGAGAGGCAGUGGGAACCAGCGUCCCCACCCAGAGGCAGCAAUGACAACUUGGUCUUUGGGGCUGACAUGAGGCAUCAGCACUUGCUGGGAAGUAGUGGCAGCUGGCAGGCCAGCCAGCAGCCACCAAAGGCACAGCUUCAGCAAUGGCAUCAUGCUGCCUGCCUGGCUGACAAGGCUCUUGUUGGCUGUUGGGGCUGUGUAGGCAGCAGUUGUAAGCCAGUAACAGCACUGCCUAUUUGCAGCAGGAAAGGGCCUGGAGGGCACCUGUCCCUUCUUGGUACAUUCGUGUUGGAUGAUUUGCACACACACACACGCACACACUCAUAGUGAUGGUGGAGGGGAGCAGGCAACUCACUCCAGUGGGACAGAUGACUGUGAGCAUGCCCUAGGCUGGCUCCAUUCCCUUGCCCAACAUCUAAACAGUCAGAAGGCCGCUGCUAUGACCUUUCAGUGGACAACUGGACCUUGACCAAAGAGGCCCUGCAGACACAGGAGAGCGACUGGAGCUCCCCUGCAAAGUGGGUCCCUGCCUGGGGACCUCCCCGGGUGGAUCAAUGUGCUUACACCGCAAGUGGCAGGGCCCUAUUGGGUUCACAGCAGCUGUGUGGGUCAGCUCUCAGCCACCCCCCUGACCACCCCCAGCCCUCUGUCUGGGGAUCCCCCUGAGCCCAGACUACCUGAGUACUCUUCAGGCUCCUCACUGCCUGAUAUGGUUUGGUUCUGUGUCCCCCAAAUCUCAUGUCAAAUUGUAAUUCUCAAUGUUGGGGGAGGGGCCUGGUGGGAGGUGAAAGUUGCCUGCUUCCCCUUCGCCUUUGCCUUCUGCCAUGAUUAUAAGUUUCCUGAGGCCUCCCAGCCAUGCUUCCUGUUAAGCCUGUGAAACUGUGAGUCAAUUAAACCUCUUCUCUUUAUAAAUUACCCACUCUCAGGUAGUUCUUUUUAGCAGUGUGAAUACAAAUGAAUACACCACCUCUCAAGCAAGUUUUCUAGACAGAACAGUGAAUGAAAUAAUAUGACCGUUUUAUAUUAUAGAAGACAAAAACAUGUACUUCCUUUUAGCUCUGGACUGGGCAACUACUGGUCCCCUCAGCAAAGAUUUAUCUUUCUGCAUUUGCAAUGAAAACAUGUCCAACUCCAGGUUUGGGGAUGAGGACAAAUCAGCUGGUCCACGGUGGAGAAACCCUGUCACAGUAGAGUGAGUUGGUCUGGGGGUGAGGCUUGCAGUAGGAGUGUGUGUCUCAACAGACAGAGCCCCCUUGCUCCUGACUUUUCGCCACACUCUGCAUCUGCUGCAGCCAAGCAGAGGGUGGCGCCUGCAGUGGUAAGAGCUCACUGCAGGUUCAUGAACAGAUGCUGGUUGUGUGUCAUGGUAAAUGGUAGGAAAACAUGGACUGACUGAAGGGAGGAAGCCUGAAGAGGAAUACAAUUUAAGUACAUGUGUUUGAGCCUGGCUGUCCUUUGCAGCCAGGAGCUAAUGACACUUGUGAGCAGGAGAAGUCAGUUCAAACACAUCAGUGAUGAGGGCUGACAAAAAAAGGGUAAGCAGGACCCUAUCCAAUGUGGCCAAUGGUUUACUCAUAGGGGAGCCGUGGCUAACACAGCAGCUUCACGAUGUAGCCGUGGGUCAUGGUACAUUUAAUGAACUGAUGGCCUGGGGGUUCCUUGCAGAGGAGAAAAAAAUUCAACAGAAGGUAGUCCUAGAUACAAUUCCUUUAUUAUCAUUAUCAUGCCCCCUAGCACAUGAAGCUGGGCUUCCA